GGACAACCCUGAACGAUUAAGCCUCUUAAUCUUGAAACAGAACCAGGUCUCCUCUUCCCACCUGCCCAGCAGCAUGAGAGCAGCAUGACUGCCCGGCCGCAGGAGAAGCCCCCAGAGCCAGGCCCCCAACUCAACCAUCAGCUGCAGAGGUCAAGGUGUGCACAACAUCUCUGCCCCACGGUGGUGUUCGGUUCAUACCUCAGCCCCCGUGACAAUGUCAAGCCCCCCUCCCUGCACAUGAGUGGUACAGGCCCACAGGAACAUCUGGCUGCAGCCACGUUCACAGACAUGUCAGCCGUGGAAUAGUGUGGACACCUUCUCUCAGCUUCUCAGGGUUUCAGUCCUUUUGGGUUUUGUUUCAUUGACCUUUUUUUAUGGUUUUGUGGCUGGACGU
rnacentral:lncRNA from 1 species